ACGAGUGUUUUUCUGAGGCAUCUCUGCUCUUUGUCGUCUCGCUGCAAGUUUGGGUUUUUGUUUUGUUUAUGGUUUGGGCGGUUUUCUGGAUGCUUAACUUUGGUUUGUAAGUUAAAUUUCUGGGUUGAUGCAUUCGGGUUCUGGCUGCCGCAUUUUUC